rnacentral:rRNA from 1 species
CCGCAUAAGCCCACGACCCGGCAUCGGGUAGAGGGAAAAGGAGCAAUCCGCUUUGAGAUGGCCUCGCGUCCGAUUAGCUAGUUGGUGAGGUAACGGCCCACCAAGGCGACGAUCGGUAGCCGGACUGAGAGGUUGAACGGCCACAUUGGGACUGAGACACGGCCCAGACUCCUACGGGAGGCAGCAGUGGGGAAUAUUGCACAAUGGGGGAAACCCUGAUGCAGCGACGCCGCGUGGAGGAAGAAGGUCUUCGGAUUGUAAACUCCUGUUGUUGAGGAAGAUAAUGACGGUACUCAACAAGGAAGUGACGGCUAACUACGUGCCAGCAGCCGCGGUAAAACGUAGGUCACAAGCGUUGUCCGGAAUUACUGGGUGUAAAGGGAGCGCAGGCGGGAAGACAAGUUGGAAGUGAAAUCCAUGGGCUCAACCCAUGAACUGCUUUCAAAACUGUUUUUCUUGAGUAGUGCAGAGGUAGGCGGAAUUCCCGGUGUAGCGGUGGAAUGCGUAGAUAUCGGGAGGAACACCAGUGGCGGAGGCGGCCUACUGGGCACCAAUUGACGCUGAGGCUCGAAAGUGUGGGUAGCAAACAGGAUUAGAUACCCUGGUAGUCCACACUGU